GUUUUAUUCCUUUUUUUUACUGCAUCCUCUUUGUCCUCCGUCUUCAAAAUGACGUUUGAGUUUGAAACAGUUUCACUUUCUCUUUUGACCCUGUU